AGUGAACGCUGGCGGUAGGCCUAACGCAUGCAAGUCGAACGGCAGCACAGUAAGAGCUUGCUCUUACGGGUGGCGAGUGGCGGACGGGUGAGGAAUACAUCGGAAUCUACUUUUUCGUGGGGGAUAACGUAGGGAAACUUACGCUAAUACCGCAUACGACCUACGGGUGAAAGCAGGGGAUCUUCGGACCUUGCGCGAUUGAAUGAGCCGAUGUCGGAUUAGCUAGUUGGCGGGGUAAAGGCCCACCAUGGCGACGAUCCGUAGCUGGUCUGAGAGGAUGAUCAGCCACACUGGAACUGAGACACGGUCCAGACUCCUACGGGAGGCAGCAGUGGGGAAUAUUGGACAAUGGGCGCAAGCCUGAUCCAGCCAUACCGCGUGGGUGAAGAAGGCCUUCGGGUUGUAAAGCCCUUUUGUUGGGAAAGAAAAGCAGCAGGUUAAUACCCCGCUGUUCUGACGGUACCCAAAGAAUAAGCACCGGCUAACUUCGUGC
rnacentral:rRNA from 1 species